rnacentral:rRNA from 1 species
UACAGAGGGGGCUAGCGUUAUUCGGAAUUAUUGGGCGUAAAGGGUGCGUAGGUGGCACUGUAAGUCGGGUGUGAAAUCCUGAGGCUUAACCUCGGAACUGCAUUCGAUACUGCGGUGCUUGAGGACUGGAGAGGAGACUGGAAUUCAUGGUGUAGCAGUGAAAUGCGUAGAGAUCAUGAGGAAGACCAGUGGCGAAGGCGGGUCUCUGGACAGUAACUGACGCUGAGGAGCGAAAGCGUGGGGAGCGAACAGG